rnacentral:lncRNA from 1 species
CAGCUCCCUAGAACUGUGUCAGAGUUCAGAGACAGCUGGAGCAUCAGGUAUGCAAAGGUGCGCUGAGGCCUGCCCGCUUUCCUAAACAGCUGGGAGACAGAAUCUCCAGGGUGAACGUUCCUCCAGGAGGACAGUGCGUGAGAGGGGCCCCUGUGUGCAGUUGCUCCUCCAACUUUCUUUGGAAACAAGGAAAUCGACGAAGCCAAAGGAAACCAAAAAUAAGAGACCAGCAAGAGCUCAGCGGGGAUACUGAUGGGGCUUCUGGAAAUAACACAGGAGGCUUCCUCGGAACGUCCAGUGAGAUCGGGUCUCCACUGCACAUCCUCCGCGUCAUUUGA